rnacentral:tRNA from 1 species
GCCCGGUUGGUGUAGUCCGGCCAAUCAUCCGGCCCUCUCGAGGCCGGGACUCGGGUUCGAACAAAUGGUUACGCGCA